UAGGGAAUCUUCGGCAAUGGGGGGAACCCUGACCGAGCAACGCCGCGUGAGUGAAGAAGGUUUUCGGAUCGUAAAGCUCUGUUGUUAAGGAAGAACGAGUGUGAGAAUGGAAAGUUCAUACUGUGACGGUACUUAACCAGAAAGGGACGGCUAACUACGUGCCAGCAGCCGCGGUAAUACGUAGGUCCCGAGCGUUGUCCGGAUUUAUUGGGCGUCAAGCGAGCGCAGGCGGUUAGAUAAGUCUGAAGUUAAAGGCAGUGGCUCAACCAUUGUAGGCUUUGGAAACUGUUUAACUUGAGUGCAGAAGGGGAGAGUGGAAUUCCAUGUGUGGCGGUGAAAUGCGUAGAUAUAUGGAGGAACACCGGUGGCGAAAGCGGCUCUCUGGUCUGUAACUGACGCUGAGGCUCGAAAGCGUGGGGAGCGAACAGG
rnacentral:rRNA from 1 species